rnacentral:misc_RNA from 1 species
ACCGACGAGGGUGACUAUCAGGUCAAGCUGCGCAACCUGCGCCGCUUCCUCGAGGAAGGCGACAAGGCCAAGGUGACGCUGCGUUUCCGUGGCCGCGAAAUGGCUCACCAGGAACUCGGUAUGCGAGUGCUUGAACGUGUGCGCGACGAUCUGCUGGAACUUGCCCAGGUCGAAGCCAUGCCCAAGCUCGAAGGCCGUCAGAUGGUCAUGGUGCUGGCGCCGAAGAAGAAGGCCGUGCCUGCGGGCAAGCCUGAAUCGGCGGCCUGAGCGCCGGCCGUACCCGUUUAGGCAAGGCCCAGCCUUCCA